rnacentral:misc_RNA from 1 species
AUUUUCUUUUGGUUUCCUUUGUCAAUUGCACUUAAUGGUCAAGUUCUUCUAAAUGAUCAGCACAAGUGGCGUAAUGAAAUUACUUUAUAAGAUAGGUGUUGGAUCGUUACUGCAACUGUUCAAAGCAUUGUUGAUGCAGCAUCGGAACGAUUUUCUAGGGGAAACUUCUUUAGGGAGCUGAGUUCUGUUAAUGAAACAUCGAAGCUUGUUUUCACAACUACCUAAAGCCAAGACUAUCGUGUUGACCUCUGCUGGUCAAGCUUUUAUUAUUCGUUCUUUCUCUUUGUUCCUGACUGGUGUUGUUUAGAGCGUCAUGACUUUUUUUGCUGGAGGAUAUGUCUUCAAUCUCAAUGUUGAAUUAUGAGAUAUCUAGAAGUUAAGAUCGUAGUCAUCUGAUAUUUCCAACUGCUCAGUUGGUUUGGACAGUUAUUCUCAAGGUUCAACAUGUUCAGUGGUGUUUGUCAUAUAUCAUCGUAUUGUUCCUCUCUUGAAGUUGAAGCUGUGGAUUUUGUAAUGAAUAAAGCUGCACAGCCUGCUCAUCAGAAUUUUUCUGGUUUUGUGCUUUUGCACUUCACCAUGAAUAAUUAGUGGUGGUUUUUGCUAGAUCAGUGCAAGACGAUCGUUUACUUCUUAGUCUUUAUAUAAAGAUAAAUGCAAGUUAUCAUUUUGAAGUUUCUCUACUUCUUUUGAAUAAGGGAGGUUGUCUUUGUGCUUCUACGAGGAAAAUGGAGAGGUACA